CUGCUGCCUCCCGUAGGAGUCUGGUCCGUGUCUCAGUACCAGUGUGGGGGACCUUCCUCUCAGAACCCCUACGCAUCGUCGGUUAGGUGGGCCGUUACCCCGCCUACUGCCUAAUGCGCCGCAUGCCCAUCCCUGUCCGGCCAAAGCCUUUCCUGCCUCCGGGAUGCCCCGGUGGCAUGUACGCGGGUUUAGCCCGCCUUUCGGCGGGUUGUCCCCCUGACAGGGGCAGGUUGCAUACGUGUUACUCACCCGUGCGCCGGUCGCCGGCGGAGAAAG
rnacentral:rRNA from 1 species